AAAUUGAAGAGUUUGAUCAUGGCUCAGAUUGAACGCUGGCGGCAGGCCUAACACAUGCAAGUCGAGCGGUAGCACAGAGAGCUUGCUCUCGGGUGACGAGCGGCGGACGGGUGAGUAAUGUCUGGGAAACUGCCUGAUGGAGGGGGAUAACUACUGGAAACGGUAGCUAAUACCGCAUAAUGUCGCAAGACCAAAGUGGGGGACCUUCGGGCCUCAUGCCAUCAGAUGUG
rnacentral:rRNA from 1 species